UGAGCCCCUCAGGUGUCCCAGAAAGUGGCUAUUUCUGUGCUCAGUGCUCAGAACAGUGAGCACUAAGAAUGGCUUGUAGCCUAAUAUU
ensembl:snoRNA